rnacentral:rRNA from 1 species
GUGGAUUAGAUACCCUGGUAGUCCUGGCUGUAAACGAUGUCGACUAGAUCGUGGUGGCUCUGACGCCGUCACGGUCGAAGCAAAAGUGCUAAGUCGACCGCCUGGGAAGUACGGUCGCAAGGCUAAAACUCAAAGGAAUUGACGGGGGCUCACACAAGCGGUGGAGCAUGUGGUUCAAUUCGAAGCAACGCGCAGAACCUUACCUGGGCUUGACAUGCCAGGAUUAUCCCCAUGAAAGUGGGGUAGGCCCUUCGGGGUACAACUAGUACAGGUGCUGCACGGCCGUCGCCAACU